rnacentral:lncRNA from 1 species
UCCAUCUAAGGCUUUGACUACACCACAGUUGUUAUCUGGGAGUUGAAGCCUGGAUCUUUACAGUUCUUAUGCUUCUUUACAGUUAUCCUCUUGUCACUUGCCUCCUGUGACCUUCACCUCAGCCAAGAUUGUCACCUUCACUUGCAGAGGGCCUGCCCUGGGCAACUUUGUCCUCUCUCCAGGCUCACAAGUAUCAGUUGAAGGCUGUCUGUCUCCAGCCUUUCUUUUCUUUCAGCAUCCCAAGCUCCUGGGUCACAACCUCCUUGGAGAUGCCCAGGCUUGAGGAAGGAGCCACAAAACUCUUGGGGACCCUGGAGAAGAUAGGAGGCCCCAGAAGAGCAGAGCCACAUGGAAGAGUCAGAGCUUUGAUGGAGCUGGUCAGCCUGGGACUGGUACUCACCUUGCAGGCACACUGGGCAACCUACCUGGCUGUCCUGAGCUCCCCUCUUUAUCCUAUGUAA